rnacentral:rRNA from 1 species
UACGAAGGGGGCUAGCGUUGUUCGGCAUUACUGGGCGUAAAGCGCACGUAGGCGGAUAUUUAAGUCAGGGGUGAAAUCCCGGGGCUCAACCCCGGAACUGCCUUUGAUACUGGGUAUCUCGAGUCCGAGAGAGGUGAGUGGAAUUCCGAGUGUAGAGGUGAAAUUCGUAGAUAUUCGGAGGAACACCAGUGGCGAAGGCGGCUCACUGGCCCGGUACUGACGCUGAGGCGCGAAAGCGUGGGGAGCAAACAGG